ensembl:miRNA
CUGUAGCCCGCAUAAAGCAAAGUGCUAAGGAGAGAGAAGGGUUGCUGUACUCAAGCCUGCUUUCCUUUCUCCCUCCAGGCUAGUAGUGAGUUCUUUAGAAGCGCUGGAAA